rnacentral:rRNA from 1 species
UGAGCAAUCUGCCCUUCUCAUCGGAAUAAGCGUUGGAAACGACGUCUAAUGCUGAAUACGACCUCCUUUCGCAUGAUCGGAGGUGGAAAGCUCCGGCGGAGAAGGAUGAGCUCGCGGCCUAUCAGCUAGUUGGUGUGGGUAAUGGUCCACCAAGGCGACGGCGGGUAGCCGGCCUGAGGAGGGUCGACCGGCCACACGAGGGACUGAGACGACGGCCCAGACCUCCGUAGGGACGGCG